UACGAAGGGGGCUAGCGUUGUCCGGAAUCAUUGGGCGUAAAGAGCGUGUAGGCGGUCCGGUAAGUCCGCUGUGAAAGUCGGGGGCUCAACCCUCGAAUGCCGGUGGAUACUGUCGGGCUAGAGUGCGGAAGAGGCGAGUGGAAUUCCUGGUGUAGCGGUGAAAUGCGCAGAUAUCAGGAGGAACACCUAUUGCGAAGGCAGCUCGCUGGGACGUUACUGACGCUGAGACGCGAAAGCGUGGGGAGCAAACAGG
rnacentral:rRNA from 1 species